CUGAACCAGCCACGUCGCGUGAAGGAGACGGCCCUACGGGUUGUAAACUUCUUUGUAAGGGAAUAAAGUGCAGUACGCGUACUGGUUUUGCAUGUACCUUACGAAUAAGGAUCGGCUAACUCCGUGCCAGCAGCCGCGGUAAUACGGAGGAUCCAAGCGUUAUCCGGAUUUAUGGGUUUAAAGGGUGCGCAGGCGGAAGAUUAAGUCGGCGGUGAAAUUUUGCAGCUCAACUGUUAAAAGUGCCUUCGAAACUGGUUUUCUUGAGUGUGGAUGAAGUAGGCGGAAUUUGUGGUGUAGCGGUGAAAUGCAUAGAUAUCACGAGGAACUCCGAUUGCGAAGGCAGCUUACUAAGCCAUAACUGACGCUCAGGCACGAAGGCGUGGGGAUCAAACAGGAUUAGAUACCCUGGUAGUCCACGCAGUAAACGAUGAUUACUAGCUGUUUGCGAUAUACAGUAAGCGGCUGAGCGAAAGCGUUAAGUAAUCCACCUGGGGAGUACGUUCGCAAGAAUGAAACUCAAAGGAAUUGACGGGGGCCCGCACAAGCGGAGGAACAUGUGGUUUAAUUCGAUGAUACGCGAGGAACCUUACCCGGGCUUGAAAUGCAUCUGACAGGAGCAGAGACGCUCUCUCCCUUCGGGGCAGAUGUGUAGGUGCUGCAUGGUUGUCGUCAGCUCGUGCCGUGAGGUGUCGGC
rnacentral:rRNA from 1 species